GGAAGGAUCAUUAUAUGAACCAUUUUUUGCAGGUUGUUUUCUUACUCAUUAUUUGGGUUAAAACCAAUCUGUAAAUUGACACACCCUGUUUAGAAGAGCAGCUUCAGUUAAAGUCAUUUUUUGACUCCUCUGUUAAACUUUCUUGUGCAUGCUUUGCACAGCAGGUCUCUGAUGGCCUGGGAUGGUGAUUUGUUACAUUUGUGAAUAUUUAUUUAAAACCUUUGACAAUGGAUCUCUUGGUUCUGGCAUCGAUGAAGAACACAGUGAAAUGUGAUAGGUGAUGUGAAUUGCAGAAUCCAGUGAAUCAUUGAAUAUUUGAACGCAUAUUGUGCACCUCCCUGCAUCUUGGUGUAGGGUGGGCACACCUGUCUGAGUGUUGGCAAAGAACUAUCAAGUUUUUUUAUACUUGGUGUUGGGGUUUAAUAUACAACCAUGUCCCAUAACAUUGUGGGAGAUGCAUGUACAUAUUACCCUGAAAUGGAUGAAAAUCUGUGGCACAAGCAGUUGGAGAUGGUCUUUUGGAUCUUCAUCCUACUCUCCCCACCAUUUACUGUCAUGGUUACAGUGUACAAGUUAAGCAUGUGCAGUUAGUUGGUGUUGGGGCCCAUCUGUUUUAUUUAUCUUCAACCUCAGAUCAGGUGGGAUUACCCACUGAACUUAAGCAUAUCAAUAAGUGGAGGAAAAGAAACCAACAGGGAUUGCCUCAGUAACGGCGAGUGAAGUGGCAUUAGCCCAAAUUUGAAAUCCUGUAGUGUUAUUGAACCUGCAGGAGUUGUAAUUUGCAGAGGAUGCUUUGGUUGCCAUGCCUGUCUCAUGUUCCUUGGAACAGGAUGUCACAGAGGGUGAGAACCCCGUGGGGAUGGGUUGUAGUGACUGUAUGAAGCACCUUCAAUGAGUCGGGUUGUUUGGGAAUGCAGCUCCAAGUAGGAGGUAAACCCCUUCCAAGGCUAAAUAUUGGCCAGAGACUGAUAGUGAACAAGUAGAGUGAUUGAAAGAUGAAAUAGUACUUUGGAAAGAGAGUUAAACAGUGUGUGAAAUUGUCAAUGGGGAAGCACUUGUGGUCAGACUUGCAUGUGAGUGCAAGGUUGGGCUAAAAAGCUGAACCUGUUUCACUUGCAUAUACAAGCCAGCAUCAGUUUUUGGGAGUGGGAGAAAUGUGCUAGGGGAUGUUGCUGUGCCUGUCUUGCAUGGGCAUGAUGAUAUUGUUGCCUGGUGCACCAUGCCACCUCCUGAGACUGAGGAAUGUGCCCAUAAUGAAUGGGUAUGGAUGCUGGGACAAUGGCUAUGAGUGGCCCGUCUUGAAACACGGACCAAGGAGUCCAACAGCUAUGCGAGUGUCUAGGUGUCAAGCCUGCAUGCGUAAUGAAAGUGAAAGGAGGCAGGAACCCUUUGUGCUUUGCGGGGGGGGCACUGUCAACCGAUCUGGAAACUUGUUGGAUGGAUUUGAGUGAGAGCAUGGCUGCUGGGACCCGAAAGAUGGUGAACUAUGCCUGUGUAGGCUGAAGUCAGAGGAAACUCUGAUGGAGGGCCGCAGCGGUUCUGACGUGCAAAUCGAUCGUCAAAUGUGGGUAUAGGGGCGAAAGACCAAUCGAACCAUCUAGUAGCUGGUUCACAC
rnacentral:misc_RNA from 1 species